ensembl:snRNA U6 U6 spliceosomal RNA
GUGCUUGAUACGGCGGCACAUAUGCUAAAAUUGGAUUGAUACAGAGAAGAUUAGCAUGGCCCCUGCAAAUGAAUGUCACGAAAAUCUGUAAAGUUCUCCAUCUUGGG